UUUAGCAUCGGGAGCCGCCGCGCCCCUGCGGGAGGACCGGGGGUUCGGGGGGGGGGUCCCGGGGGCCGCCUCCCGCCGCAGCUCAGCCCGGUGCUGCUCCCGGGCAGCCGCCGUGCACGGUGCUGGGGCGGGCUCCACCUGCCCGCCGGGGCAGCGGACCCGAUCCCGGACCCGAUCCCGGACCCGAUCCCUCUCCUGGCCCCGCCGCCCUCCCUCCGGCACCCCGCGGGGCUGCGGCUUCGGGGUCCAGCCCGGCAGCGAGGCGGGCUCCUCUGGCUGAGGACAAGGUCAAGGAUGAAGGGUCAAUGUCAAGUUGUCUGAACGGUGGAAGGCGACGGGGCCAUGGCAGCAGCCCCCGGUUCCCGCCUUUCUGCUGCCCUUGGCUGAUUCGAAAGUGCCAUUUUGAGGGGGAAAGGCACCCUGCCACCGAGGGGACGUGAGGGCUUCGCUGCUCCUUCAAAGGGCGAAGAAGGGAGGACGGUGCAGUGCGGGGACUUCACUGCCCUUCUGCCCAGCUGCCAUUCAUGUCUCUAAGCUGCUCUGACGGCCGGAUUGCUCUAAGUUUGCGGGCUGAACUCUGCCGAGGCGAGCCCUGCCAGAGGUAAGGUGCAACGUGACGGCUCCCCGGGAGGCACACGUAGCCUACCGGUCGCAGAGGCAAUCCGCUCGGCUGGUUUCUGCGUGGACGCUACGCGAAGUUCAGGAUAAAACCCCCCAUCCUCUGUUAAUCCCAGCAUGUAACAAAAUAAUUAAGUAAAGUGUAGCUGGGGUGCUGCAGGCCUCCUGCAAGUCAAGCUGCCCGGCCAGAAAAUGCCAUUGACCCCUCUUGACUGCCAAAAAUCUUUGCAGAAAUCAGCACUGUCAAUCCCGAUCGUUUCCUCUCAAGGAUGAUAAAGAUACUCCUCCUAAACCAGAAAAAAGUUGCCCCAAUCAUCUGAGAAAUCAGCAGCCGAAUCACCUUCUGAAGGGAGAUAUUAUCACCGGGCAUUGCAAGGAGUGAAAUAAAAAGAGUGUCACCUCAGCCCCCUAAUUUGGGUGACGCUCUUUGGAGGAAAAAAAAACAAGUGAGGGGUUGUCAGGAGAGCAGGAACUUUCGCUGUGACUUGGACGUGAACUUCCUGCUGUGUGGGGCACGUGCAACCGCUCACCUUUUCUCCACGUUCUGGAUCAAAUCCUUCCUGCUUUGAUCUAAUAUAGAUAUCAUUAUUCAAAAUAUGACUGUAAUAGACGUGAACGCCGUCUUGACAACAUACCUAUAGCUUCAAUUCGUGCCAGGAAUUAAUUGGCUUCGAUCCAAUUGCUAAAACUCGCUUUUCAGCCUUUAUUAUACUUACUCUCUAGUAAUGUGUGGGUGGAUUUGUUUGUAAUUUAGCACAGGCUGUCCCUGGCAUUGCACCAUACCUCGUACCCAGCACAGAACUGUAACACUGUAAAAAAAAAAAAAACAAACAACAACAAAAAGAAACAAAAAAGGCAGGUGUGAAGGUAAUUACUUCAUCAUCCCUUCGGUCGGUGGUGGGGAGCUCGAAUUGUUCAGCUAACGUCAGCGGGCAAUAAAAACCUCCUGGGAAACCCUGCCAACACAAACUAGAGCGAAAAACCGGUAAAAUAUAAAAUCCAGCUUCUCUGACUCCCUGGCUUUGAGUCUUCAGUGGAGUUCCAGGGUGACCUCAACUCGCCUAGAGACCCCGAACGACCCCGCCGCCAGACGCCCGCGCUCCGCGGCAGCCUCCGCCAACAGGCUCGAAGCAAUUCUCCGGAGUCUUUUUUCCUGGGAACAGGGACUUUCCUAAAGGUGCAAGUUAACUCUUUCUUAGCCCCCCCGCCCGCCCGCCCGCUGCAUUUGUCCCCUGUCCCCUCCGAAGGGCGGUCGCGCUGUGCCCACCCCCGCAGCCCCCCCGGUGCCAGCCCGGCUGCCGCGGCAGGGAGCGGGAGGCUCCGGGCUCCCAGGAACUCCUCUGUUACCCUCACGGACGGGAAAGAAAAACAAUAAAGGACUGCGUUUCCUAAAAA